UCUUUGGCUCUGGAUUUCAGAGUUGUGAGCAGUCUCCUUUUGAGAUGUGUCUUUGCGUUUUCCCCUUUAUCGGUUAAAGGAUAAAAGUGGGGCUUGGGAAGAAGUUUGACCCGUCUCCAUUCAAGUGCCUUGCGUCACAGAUUUAACACAGAAGGAAGAAGCCAUAACCACAGUAGGGGCAAGGGGGUGGGGGAAGAUACUCAAACCUGGUGGGUAAGGAGCUGGAAUGUCUGGGAAGUCUUUCUGGAAAAGAUCCUCUCCCGGCAUGCACAGUAGAAGCUCCAGUGCCCUUGGUACCAAUGGCAUUCCCGCUAAUAAUGUCAACAGGAGAAAUGACAGUUGGAGACAUGUAACACGGGUGUUUCACAAGUUGGAGCUUUACCAUCCAGAACAAGUAACUUAAGGCAACUAUAGCUUAAAUCCUCUAAAAGGAAUUAAGUGCAGAAUCUUUUCUGUCAUGUCUGCAUUUGGAAAAUCCUGUAAAUACUCUGAAAGCAAGAAGUCCUAUGAAAGAUAAAGAAUUGAAGGUAAUUACAUCUUUAUCAACAGUCACUUAAGGUGAUUCAAUA